rnacentral:rRNA from 1 species
AGUCACUGACAUUAGAUACCCGGGUAGUCCCAGCCGUAAACUAUGCUCGCUAGGUGUCAGGCAUGGCGCGACCGUGUCUGGUGCCGCAGGGAAGCCGUGAAGCGAGCCACCUGGGAAGUACGGCCGCAAGGCUGAAACUUAAAGGAAUCGGCGGGGGAGCACAACAACGGGUGGAGCCUGCGGUUUAAUUGGACUCAACGCCGGACAACUCACCGGGGACGACAGCAAUAUGUAGGCCAGGCUGAAGACCUUGCCUGAAUCGCUG